UACGUAGGGUGCAAGCGUUGUCCGGAAUUAUUGGGCGUAAAGAGCUCGUAGGCGGUUUGUCGCGUCUGCUGUGAAAACCCGAGGCUCAACCUCGGGCCUGCAGUGGGUACGGGCAGACUAGAGUGCGGUAGGGGAGAUUGGAGUUCCUGGUGCAGCGGUGGAAUACGCAGAUAUCAGGAGGAACACCGAUGGCGAAGGCAGAUCUCUGGGCCGUAACUGACGCUGAGGAGCGAAAGCAUGGGGAGCGAACAGG
rnacentral:rRNA from 1 species